rnacentral:lncRNA from 1 species
GGCAGCAUGUGGCUUUGUUCAGCUGGAUUCCUGGCUGCAAGGAUGGAUGUGCAUUCACCGGCCUAUUUUGAGCAGAAAUCCUGAAGGCCUCUGCCGGCUUCCGAUGGAGGGUCCAGAGGCUUGUACCUUCAGCCCAUUCUUUACUUGUUUUUAUUCUAUUUUGCAUUCACAGAGAUGUUUUUGGUGGGUUUGCGGCCAGCUAUGUGGGUUUUUUUCCUACCUGGCAGGACUAAUGGUUUUCCCUAUACUCUGACUCUCUGUAGAUCAUGCCCCUGUUUAUAACAUCUCAAGGUGUCCCUAUUGAAGUUGAGUGGAAGUGCAUUACCAGACAUGUAAAGACCCUUGUUCACCCAGACUCUGCCCUCCAUUUAUAUGGAGUUGUUUUUAAUUCUCCAAAUAUGUCUUGCUUCCUCUCACCACCAGGCUCACUCAGGCUGUUUGUCCAUCUGAUAUAAUUUCAAUUCUCUGUCUUAUUUGUACUUAAUUCUCCUGAUCUUUCUCAUCUCCCUCUAACAUCACUUCCUCUCCUCUUCCUCCUUCCAUGUACUUUUAUUCUCCUACCCUACUCCCCAUAUGAUAACACUUAUCUCAUUUCCUUUUUCAUCAAUCUUUCCUCCUACACUGAGGCUUCUUAUGAGUACGGCUCACGUCUCACUCAUUUGGUCCUUAACCGCUGCACCCAGCAAAUCAUAGACACCCAGCAAAUAUUAGGAGAAUGAAUAAAUGAAAGGAGAUGCAAUUCUCCCAUUCAUCCAUUCCUUCCUUGCUGUCCAGAGGAAAUGGGUCAGAAUGCCGAGUGCUCUGUGACAAAGACAUCCCUUCACCGCGCCUUCAUGUUGCUGGGGAGUGGCACAGACUUUCUGCCGUGGCUUGUGUCUCUAUGGUGAUUAUUAGAAUGCAUCCCCAUCUCUCGAACUUGCUGAUCCUUGCAG